UACGAAGGGUGCAAACGUUGCUCGGAAUCAUUGGGCGUAAAGCGCACGUAGGCGGCCCAUCAAGUCGGACGUGAAAUCCCUCAGCUCAACUGAGGACGUGCAUCCGAAACUGAUGGGCUUGAGUACUGAAGAGGAUCGCGGAAUUCCCGGUGUAGAGGUGAAAUUCGUAGAUAUCGGGAGGAACACCAGUGGCGAAGGCGGCAUCCUGGACCGACACUGACGCUGAGGAGCGAAAGCCAGGGGAGCAAACGGG
rnacentral:rRNA from 1 species